ACAUAUUACUUUCAACAUUUCUUCUCCACAACCGUUUCCUUCUCCCUCUAUACUCUUAUUCUUCGACAUAUCUCACGGCGACCACGAAGCUCGAAAGCUUUCUACGUCGGCCACCACACGCAAGUGGCCAAAACUCAUUCCGAUUACACAAUACUCAACUGCUAUAGAACCCUGCGAUGGGAUAUCAACCCCUGUUUCGGAGAACGAGAGAAGCCUAGGCCUACCUUGGGCAAACCGAAUCUGCUUGGUCAUUUCUCCAUCCUAAAUCGCCUCUAGACAGAGGCCUCUACAAGCCCCAACAACCGCAUGCACACCGGCCACUGCUAACAACAGCCUGAGGGACCAAACGACCACCAAACUCACAAAUAAAAAGCAAAGACCCACAGACUCCCCAGUUCGACAACUACAACUUCGGUGACGAUGGUUUCAUCCCUCAGUAUCAGCUUCAACAAUGGUAUGAUUGUCGGCAGCAGCUAAACGGGUCAAUUCUGGAUCCGGAUCACACUUGGGAUGCUCUUGGGCUCCGGGUUUUAAUUUCUUCAAGCAUGUUGUAAUUGGUCUUUGUAGUUUGGGCCUAUAAAC